GCAGUCAGAAAAUAUCACGAGAAUGGAGUGCAGGGUAGUUGAGAGUCUUGUGGAAAAUCGAUUUCGUUGGAAGCAUCACGACAAGAUUCGGAAGAUGUGUGGUGCAUUCCGGUACUAGAAAUACCCGGCAUCAAAUAGCCCUUUUGCAUCAAAUCAUGGAAGGGAACCGAAAUCCACAUCUUUUACCAAAGUAUACUCUGACUGUUCAUGAAAUAAGAUAAUCUGGAGCCAUUAGACUAUUACAUAGAGCAUAACACCAGGAGCAAUAUCUCAAGUUACAUACAUACAUUAAGAAAAUAGAAGGUCAAUCUUAGGUCAAAAACAUGACUCAUUGAAGGAAUUAAGCCACAUCAAUUAAUCUUAUAAGCAGUACUGUCGAGAAUGACAAUACUUAAGAAGAGAUGAAGCAUACAUAUGUAGACACAUUGGAGUUUGACUUUAGAAAAAGAGUGAGCAGGCUUUAAUUCGCUUUAAUAGCCUGGGACAUUAAAAUAUAUUGUUGGUUUGUAUAGGGAGACAUAAAUUAAGCGAUAUUAUAGUGACACAGACAGACUCAAGAGUUGUGUAGCGAAAAAUAAUAAUAUUGCUCGCAUAAUUCGUUAAAAUCACAUAUGUAUAUGGCUUACCCAAGGAGGGCCGCCUCCUCCAUCGAUGUUGAAGUUGGCAUUCUACGUCCUUUGUUAUCCCUGAGCAUGAGUAAUUUAUUUAUUCGUAAUUUACCAUAAAAUAUACACAUUUAAAUAUGUAUCACAGUCUUUGAAUAAAAUCUUUUAAAUAGUUAGCCACAGACAGCUCCAAAUCCCUUAAUAUGCAUAUGUGCACCUUUCACCAGGUAAUACUAUAGAUAAAUAAAUACAAUCGCACCGCACCAUCACCACAUGACCCUUAAUUGAUUAUGAUAUCCUUAUUUUAUGUCAUAUUCCGACAUCCAAAGCAAA